GCAGAGGACUGAAAAUC
rnacentral:tRNA from 3 species